rnacentral:rRNA from 1 species
UGGGGAAUUUUGGACAAUGGGCGCAAGCCUGAUCCAGCUAUUCCGCGUGUGGGAAGACGGCCUUCGGGUUGUAAACCACUUUUGUAGAGAACGAAAAGUCUAAGGUUAAGAGCUAUAGACGCUGACGGUACUCUAAGAAUAAGCACCGGCUAACUACGUGCCAGCAGCCGCGGUAAUACGUAGGGUGCGAGCGUUAAUCGGAAUUACUGGGCGUAAAGGGUGUGCAGGCGGUUUUGCAAGAUGGAUGUGAAAGCCCCGGGCUUAACCUGGGAAAGCCAUACAUGACUGCAGGACUAGAGUACGUCAGAGGGGGGUGGAAUUCCAAGUGUAGCAGUGAAAUGCGUAGAUAUUUGGAAGAACACCGAUGGCGAAGGCAGCCCCCUGGGACGCAACUGACGCUCAUACACGAAAGCGUGGGGAGCAAACAGG